rnacentral:sRNA from 1 species
UCUCUUGAAGUAUCAGCGGGGGUGGG